rnacentral:rRNA from 1 species
GCGAACGCUGGCGGCAUGCCUAACACAUGCAAGUCGAACGAGACCUUCGGGUCUAGUGGCGCACGGGUGCGUAACGCGUGGGAACCUGCCCUUAGGUUCGGAAUAACUCCCCGAAAGGGGUGCUAAUACCGGAUAAUGUCUUCGGACCAAAGAUUUAUCGCCUUUGGAUGGGCCCGCGUUGGAUUAGCUAGUUGGUAGGGUAAAAGCCUACCAAGGCGACGAUCCAUAGCUGGCCUGAGAGGAUGAUCAGCCACACUGGGACUGAGACACGGCCCAGACUCCUACGGGAGGCAGCAGUGGGGAAUAUUGGACAAUGGGCGAAAGCCUGAUCCAGCAAUGCCGCGUGAGUGAUGAAGGCCUUAGGGUUGUAAAGCUCUUUUACCCGGGAUGAUAAUGACAGUACCGGGAGAAUAAGCUCCGGCUAACUCCGUG